rnacentral:misc_RNA from 1 species
CCCUUCUAUCAGGGGAUUGGUGUCAGCAUUUCGGCCUUUGGCUUACUUUCUGGCCCUUUCCUUUCUGAUUCUACCCAUGUUUUUUGCGUACUAUUUGUUUCCUUGGUGGGCUUGCCUGCCAAAAGGACAAUUCAAACCACUUGUAAUUGCAGUCAGCGUCAGUAACAAUGUAAUAAUUA